CGCACCCGUUCUCGCGCAAAACCACCGAACCGACCAAUAGCCAUGGCGAAGGGCCGGAAGAAGGACGCCGCCGUCCGCGGCGUGGAUGACGACGGAGGAGCCGCCUCUUCCCAGUCGGUGAACGCGGAGGUGGGAUUCGCCAAGCUCCAGGGCGAGGACUUCGAGUACUACAUGCAGACCUACUCCAUCAUUCUGGGUCGCAACAGCAAGACGUCGGAGGUGGACGUCGAUCUCGCCUCACUCGGCGGCGGCAUGAACAUAUCCCGCCACCAUGCCCGCAUUUUCUACGACUUUAUCCGCCGCCGCUUCGCCCUCGAGGUCCUGGGUAAGAAUGGGUGCUUGGUCGAGGGCGUCCUCUACAUCCCCGGCACGCCGCCCGUCAAGCUCGAUUCCCAAGAUCUCCUCCAGAUGGGGGAAAAACAGUUUUACUUUCUCCUUCCUACCCGAUCCCUAUUUGGCGGUGAAACUGCUCCCGUUACUCGCCAGCUGUCAGGGGCCGCUCUCGCGGGGUGCGCGGACCUCGUGGAUCCUCGUGGAGGUGGGAUUCCCGUGCUUAACGAUGAAGAUGGCAGCUACGAUGACGACGAUGCAAAUGAGGAGGAGGAGGAGGAGGAGGAGGAGGAGGAAGAGGAAGAGGAAGCGGAAGAGGAGGAUGAUGUUAGGGAAUCGAUUGUUCGCAAUGAUGGAAAGCGACUGAGAGGAUUUUCAGAGGAUGAACCGGAGGAAGCUCAUCGUAGGACAAGCAACGAAAAGCCAUCGCGUCGUCCAGGAGAUGACCAGCUAAAUGGCGUUUUGAGAUCUACUUUCAAGAGCUCGGGGGCUCCAGGAAAACGUGACAGUGCUGUAGAACCACAAAACCCAGCCCAAGAGUGCACGCUGAAGAUGCAAUGCCGUAACAUGCACACUCUGCCAGAAAAUUGCAGCAGUGCAAAACUGAACACGAUGUCGGUUCAAUUGACAAGCAACCCAAUUAUUCAGCUGCUUAAAGGCUCAAGAGAACUGCUUGAAGAAUCCUGGAGGAAUCCAAGAAACAGAUAGGUGCAACAGAUGGAGCUAGCAUUGGCACAGUUCAAAAUAGCCUGGUUGUUUUAAAUGAAACAGGGAGUCAUUUCUAGCUGUCCAGAUGGUAUAAAGCCAUGCUUGCACAAGAAGUAUUGAAUACCCUUAAGGCUCUCAGUCUAGGAGACUAGCAACACUUUUCCAUUUCUUCAAUGAGGCCUCCCCUACCAUCUCCUUGUCAAAUGGAAAGGAUCUGAAGUCAACCAGCAAACACAUAAUUGAAGAAGAGCAGUAAGUUCGACUCCUCAACUAGGUGGCACAAGAUAUAAUUCAACUUGAGUUCAAAUCUCUCAAACCCUUUGCAAAGCAGAUCUUUGGUAGUAAUCCUGGUUUGGAGAGCUCCAUACGAUGGUAGCAAAAGGUGGAAUCCACCACCCCAGCGACCUCAUAUGUGAGCUGAGAAACACAAGAAGUUGAGUGAAAGACGCAGCUAGUGAGAAGGAUGACACAGGCAAGAGCGGCUCGGUGUAUCCGAGAGCCGAGAUGCUACGGAAGAGUACACCGGUGGACGAGAAGGACGUGUGCGACGUUAGAGGGACGAGAAGCCGGGGAGGAAGUCUGCUCGAGGAGAAGGCCGGAAGAUGGGUCCGGGUGAGCCCAAUUCCGGAUGGACGACAUCACCAGGCGAUCGGAGCAACGAAAGAGCCAACACGGAGCUGCGGAGCUGCUGGAGGCGCCCUCAAUGUGGUUGGAGGCGCCUCCGCACCUUUUUGUGGGAAGACACCUUCAACAGGGUUAAAGGCGCUUUCAACCACCCAUGGAAGGCGGCUUUAACCCUUUGAAGGCGCCUUAGAUUGGGCAAAAUGUAACCGUUAGCAAAGAUAAAGUCUUAUCUUCCCUUGCCUCGUUGGAGGCACCUUCUAGCCUCAGAUAUCCAGGAGCUAUAAAAGGACCCCCUGGACGUAGGAAAUAUUCAAUAACUCAAGUAUUCAUUUCCUAGCUUAUUCCUGAACAUUCAAAGAGUGUAAGAGGCUUCUCCGUCUUCAA